CAAGAACUGCUGCUUCACAAUCAGAGUAAAAUGUUUUUUACCUAUUGGGUUUACAUGAAGAGAUCUCAAAAAGCCUAACGCCAUCCUUUGAAGACAGCAGGCUACAAAAACUACAGUGACCAUUUGCAUCUAUCUCUGGGGUGAACUUCUGCACUCUGAUCGACGGUGGAAAGGAAGAUACUGUUCUAAUAAUGGCGGAAAGAAGACUUGCAAGCAGUUACCAGUUUCAAAGCAGAACGAUUUCUUCACAAUCAAAGAUGACAGUGCAACACACAGUGGUUAGGACCAGCCAUGUGAGAGUGUCUCAUCAGCAGAGAUCUGUGGCGGUUUUGAGCAGCAGCAGCAGCAGCAGCAGCAGCAAUAGCAGCAACAGCAGCAGCAGCAGCAGGCCAUCACCAACGACAAUAUUCAUAAACUCAGAAACAAUCAGCAGUUUCCAAGGAAAGCCUAACAUUGAGGAAGAGAUUAAAAAGAUGAAAGAGAAGUUGUCUGAAUUCUCAAGCAGGCCAGGGUUUUAAACAAUCUGCUUCCACAAACACCAAUUGAUCAAGUCUGCCUAAAAAGUGGAUCAGACAGCUGCAGCUGAUCCAG